GACGAACGCUGGCGGCGUGCUUAACACAUGCAAGUCGAACGGACCUUCGGGUUAGUGGCGAACGGGUGAGUAACACGUGGGUGAUCUGCCCUGCACUUGGGGAUAAGCCUGGGAAACGGGGCCUAAUACCGAAUAGGACCACGGUAGUAAUGUGCUGUGGUGGAAAGCUUUUGCGGUGUGGGAUGGGCCCGCGGUCGAUCAGCUUGUUGGUGGGGUGAUGGCCUACCAAGGCGACGACGGGUAGCCGGCCUGAGAGGGUGACCGGCCACACUGGGACUGAGAUACGGCCCAGACUCCUACGGGAGGCAGCAGUGGGGAAUAGUGCACAAUGGGCGCAGGCCUGAUGCAGCGACGCCGCGUGAGGGAUGACGGCCUUCGGGUUGUAAACCUCUUUCGCCAGGGACGGAGCGCAAGUGAAGGUACCUGGAGAAGAAGGACCGGCCAACUACGUGCCAGCAGCCGCAGUAAGAC
rnacentral:rRNA from 1 species